rnacentral:tRNA from 1 species
CGGGCUGUGGCUCAGCUUGGUAGAGCGCUCCGUUCGGGUCGGAGAGGUCCAGGGUUCAAAUCCCUGCAGCCCGA